rnacentral:rRNA from 1 species
ACACGGACCAAGGAGUGCAAGAGGCGUGCGAGUCUUUGGGUGUCUAUCAGACCCUGGGGCGCAAUGAAAGUGAAGGGGGCCACGUGUUCCCGAGGCGAGAGCCUGGCCGUGUUGCUGGGCCCAUCGUCGACCGAUCCCGGGCUGCUCUGCGGUGGGAUUCGAGUGAGAGCGUGCCUGUUGCGACCCGAAAGAUGGUGAACUAUGCCUGAAUAGGGCGAAGCCAGAGGAAACUCUGGUGGAAGCUCGCAGCGGUUCUGACGUGCAAAUCGAUCGUCAAAUUUGGGUAUAGGGGCGAAAGACUAAUCGAACCGUCUAGUAGCUGGUUCCCUCCGAAGUUUCCCCCAGGAUAGCUGGAGCCCGGUGCAGUUUUAUCAGGUAAAGCGAAUGAUUAGAGGUCUUGGGGUUGAAACAACCUCAACCUAUUCUCAAACUUUAAAUGGGUAAGAAGCUCGGCUUGCUCGGUUGAAGUCGGGCGUUGGAAUGCCGGGGCUCCUAGUGGGCCAUUUUUGGUAAGCAGAACUGGCGAUGCGGGAUGAACCGAACGCCGGGUUAAGGUGCCCGAAUCGACGCUCAUCAGAUCCCAUAAAAGGUGUUGGUUGAUCUAGACAGCAGGACGGUGGCCAUGGAAGUCGGAACCCCGCUAAGGAGUGUGUAACAACU